rnacentral:rRNA from 1 species
CGUCAAAUCAGCACGGCCCUUACGUCCGGGGCGACACACGUGUUACAAUGGGAGGUACAGAGGGCUGCUACCCGGCGACGGGAUGCUAAUCUCAAAAACCUUUCUCAGUUCGGAUCGGAGUCUGCAACUCGACUCCGUGAAGUUGGAUUCGCUAGUAAUCGCGCAUCAGCCAUGGCGCGGUGAAUACGUUCCCGGGCCUU